rnacentral:sRNA from 1 species
CGUGCAGCUGAGAUCCUGGCGCGAGAUGGUCCCAACGCCCUCACUCCCCCUCCCACUACUCCUGAAUGGAUCAAGUUUUGUCGGCAGCUCUUUGGGGGGUUCUCAAUGUUACUGUGGAUUGGAGCGAUUCUUUGUUUCUUGGCUUAUAGCAUCCAAGCUGCUACAGAAGAGGAACCUCAAAACGAUAAUCUGUACCUGGGUGUGGUGCUAUCAGCCGUUGUAAUCAUAACUGGUUGCUUCUCCUACUAUCAAGAAGCUAAAAGUUCAAAGAUCAUGGAAUCCUUCAAAAACAUGGUCCCUCAGGUACCAGACGCUUUGUCCUUCCCCAGUGGAUGACUUGACAGCCCCAAGCAUGUCAGCCUGUGAAUUAGUGUGAAGUUAAGGUUUUCCAAGUAUUACAUGACUCAUCAGAGAGAUGGAUGUCUUCUACCCCACCCAAAACCAACCUAUUUUCCUUCUAUCCAAAAAGUGGUAGCCUUUCUUUUGAAUGUAAACUCUGAAUACAGGCACACCAUGUAACAGCAGUAUCUCUUAAACUGGCGAGCAAGCUUUUGUAACUUGUGUAAAUAAAAAAGUGAAUAAUA